AUUGAACGCUGGCGGCAGGCCUAACACAUGCAAGUCGAGCGAGAGGCGGACGGGUGAGUAAUGUAUGGGGACUGCCCGAUAGAGGGGUAUAAAUACGGGAAACGUUGGCUAAUACCGCAUACUAUCGGAUAACCCAUAGGGGAUUAGCUAGUAGGUGGGGUAAAGGCUCACCUAGGCGACGAUCUCUAGCUGGUCUGAGAGGGUGAUCAGCCACACUGGGACGGGGACACAGCCCAGACUCCUACGGAGGCAGCAGUAGGGAAGAUUGCACAAUGGGAGAAAGCCUGAUGCAGCCAUGCCGCGUGUAUGAAGAAGGCCUGAGGGUUGUAAAGUACUUUCAGCGGGGAGGCGUUACCAGCAGAAGAAGCACCGGCUAACUCCGUGCCAGCAGCCGCGGUAAUAC
rnacentral:rRNA from 1 species